rnacentral:sRNA from 1 species
UGAGGCUGCAUUUCUUGGACGUUUCCUCCCUAAACUUGGCGGCUCCUCGGAGCCGCCUUUCUUUUUUCGGCU